GCGAGCCGCAGGGCACCUUACCCCAUGAGAAAGCAUUUGCUUUUGAAAUAGUUUGCUUCGGCGAACACUAAACAAGUACCGCUUGUUUAAAAUUCGCUUAAGUGAGUUAGGGGAGGAAACUCUGUCCAUCGUGCAGAAACCCGAACAACACCUGAGAAGGUGGGCUCUGGAGCAGAAAUGAGAUUUUCCGCCCGUGCAUAAAUGUUGAUGAUGACGCAGGUCUGAAACGCCAGGCGGAAAAGUGAAACAUGCCAUCCUCGGGGAUGCAAGCCCAAACAAGCUGCCAGUGACAAUCUGCAGGAGGCGCGUGGUAGGGCGCUUAGACGAAUGGUGCCAAACUGGGAAAUCACGUUCAAUCGUGAUCCUAUGAACAGAAGGCAGGUUACUCGCGGCACGC
rnacentral:RNase_P_RNA from 1 species